UAAUACGUAGGUGGCGAGCGUUGUCCGGAUUUACUGGGCGUAAAGCGCGCGCAGGCGGUUGACUAAGUCUGGUGUGAAAUUUCCCGGCUUAACUGGGAAGGGUCAUUGGAUACUGGUCAGCUUGAGGAAGGUAGAGGAGAGUGGAAUUCCCGGUGUAGUGGUGGAAUGCGUAGAUAUCGGGAGGAACACCAGUGGCGAAAGCGGCUCUCUGGGCCUUUCCUGACGCUGAGGCGCGAAAGCGUGGGGAGCGAACCGGAUUAGAUACCCGGGUAGUCCACGCUGUAAACGAUGGACACUAGGUGUGGGGGGUAUCGACCCCCUCCGCGCCGAAGCUAACGCGAUAAGUGUCCCGCCUGGGGACUACGGCCGCAAGGCUA
rnacentral:rRNA from 1 species